rnacentral:tRNA from 1 species
UCCCUGGUGGCCUAGUGGUUAAGGGCUUAGUAUUGUCAUUGCUGUGGCUCAGGUUGGAUCCUUGACCUAGGAA